UGGAUCAAGGAUCCACAUCACACUUCAAAAUUUGCACCAAAAGCACAUGAAGGUUUUAUGCUUGGAUAUGGAAAGGAUUCGCACUCCUAUAGAGUCUUUAACCUCUUUCACUAUAAAGUGGUUGAAACUGUGGAUGCGCGGUUCGAUGAGACUAAUGGCUUGCAAAGAGAGCACCUGCCAAAUGUGCUAGAUGAAGUUCCAUCCAGUGAAUCAAUCAAACUUAUGGGAACUGGAGAAAUCAUACCUUUUGAAGCUCAGCCUGAAGAGGAACUUAUCAUCUCCACACCUGAUCAACCUGAAGACAAUGAUCAACCUGAAGACAAUGCUCAGCCU
rnacentral:rRNA from 1 species